rnacentral:rRNA from 1 species
CUUACCCUACGGGAGGCAGCAGUGGGGAAUAUUGCACAAUGGGGGAAACCCUGAUGCAGCGAUGCCGCGUGGAGGAAGAAGGUUUUCGGAUUGUAAACUCCUUUUAUCAGGGACGAUAAUGACGGUACCUGAAGAAAAAGCUCCGGCUAAAUACGUGCCAGCAGCCGCGGUAAUACGUAUGGAGCAAGCGUUAUCCGGAUUUACUGGGUGUAAAGGGAGCGCAGGCGGCAUGGCAAGUCAGAUGUGAAAGCCCGGGGCUCAACCCCGGGACUGCAUUUGAAACUGUCAGGCUGGAGUGCAGGAGG